rnacentral:tRNA from 1 species
GGGACUAUAGUUAAUGAUAACAUUUGAGUUGCAUUCAAAAAGUACUACCCAGGUAGUUAGUCUCA